UUUCGAAUCAUUGACAAUGGGCGAAAGCCUGAUCGUGCGACGCCGCGUGAGGGACGAAGGUCUUCGGAUUGUAAACCUCUGUCACCGGGGAAGAACCGCCAAACGCUAACACCGUUUGGUCUGACUUAACCCGGAGAGGAAGCAGUGGCUAACUCUGUGCCAGCAGCCGCGGUAAUACAGAGACUGCAAGCGUUAUUCGGAUUCACUGGGCGUAAAGGGUGCGCAGGCGGCCGUGUGUGUCAGGUGUGAAAGCCCGGGGCUCAACCCCGGAAUUGCGCCUGAAACUACAUGGCUAGAGCAUUGGAGAGGGUAGCGGAAUUCACGGUGUAGCAGUGAAAUGCGUAGAUAUCGUGAGGAACACCAGAGGCGAAGGCGGCUACCUGGACAAUUGCUGACGCUC
rnacentral:rRNA from 1 species